CCAGGCGCUCAUUAAAACAGCAGGUUGCUCCACACUGCCUCGUGUUGUCUGUUGGCACACUCUCAAGAGUUUGAACGGAUACAAGAAUCUUUCAUCUGGUGCCGAAACCCGGGAGGGGCUCCGGUCUUCGUCCCCCGUGGACCUACCCCUCCGCCCCAGAAAGCAGGCCACAGCAGCCGGACAAAGGAAGCUCCUCAGCCUCCAGUUGCUUCUCUGUGCAUGCACAUCAGUCACUGAUCUCACCUACUGGCCCAGUCCCAAGGCGCAAGGCCACUUGUGCCAGCAGUGUGAGUCAGCAAGAUAGCAGAAGCAGGAAGAGAGCCGGCCAGAAGACACCUACUCUGACUGGGAGACACGUACCCCUGAAGAUUGAGAAAGAGGCCAUCCAGGCCUAGCCUUCAAGAGAGAAAUUGGACCAAUCUAUGAAAAAUGUUGCUGGGAGUGAAGAUGGAAUGAGAAGAACAGAGAAACAAUGACAGAGUCCUUACAAACACCAUGAUACAAGAAGGCAAUGGGGAUAUGUUAUCCUAAAGGAAUCCUAAAAGAAGUGAUCAAAAAGGUGAACAGAAAACCAAGUGGGAGUACUGUCACUGAGGAUGAGUUUCCAGAGAGAAUUAAUGCUGAAGAAGCUAUUGCAGGCACUGCUGAGUAUGAAGAACUAAUUGGAGAAGGAAGCCGUUGUAUAGCAGAUGCAGAGCAGCAGCAAAAAUGGUAAUGAAAAUAGAAGAUAAAUUAGAAAAUUUGGAAAAACCCAAACAGAUCAGCCAUAUUGAAGGGAAAAAGAAAAACAAAACAAAGUGGGAGGGCAGAAAUGUAGAACGGUAUACACUCUUUUAACCCCAAGGAUGAAUGUAGCCAAGAACACAGUGGGGACUUAGGAGUCUCAGCACAGAGCAUUCUCUACUCCCUACUGCUCAGGCAAAGAACUCCUUCAUCAUGCAGAACCAAAACUGGUGUAGAGUCUUAAAUGACCUGGGUAUCUCUACGCAGAAGAAAGCGCUUUCCAUGUAAAAGGAUUAACUUGAACCUGGGUGCUCAAGGGACACCCUAGGCUGCUUAUCCCACUGAUUCUGAUCUGACUGUGUUAAGUAAUAAAUCAUGUGGUUACAUAUUCACAUUAU
rnacentral:lncRNA from 1 species